GCCGGAGUGGCGAAAUUGGCUAUACGCACCUGCCUUAGGAGCAGACGGGGUAACCCAUGGAGGUUCGAGUCCUCUCUCCGGCA
rnacentral:tRNA from 1 species